rnacentral:ncRNA from 2 species
GCACGCUGCCACGGGUGUCCGGCGCGCCGGGCUGAGAGGUGGGUUCGCGGCCCACGACCGUUCGCACCUGAAUCGGAUCAUGCCGACGCAGGAAGGGCACCGGACCUCCCAC